AGCAGAGUCCGAAGGCAGGAUGCCGCCGACGCGGUUCUUGUCCACGUUGUGAGCUGCGCGCGCACACACGCUCGGCUCCACGCAUGAUCGAGUUAUGAGCUGGGGAAAAAAAGGUUGACAGGCGGCGGGCCCUGAUACGUGUGAUGUCUGUUGGCCAGCGACCGCAUGCGUUCUAGCAACGCGUAGUUUUCCGCUCGGUUCACCCUGCAAAUAUAAAUGAUAUCAAACCUACCAAUUUUAACGACUUCAAAAAGGUUUGGUUUGCUGUCGACACAAGAAGAAGAAUCUUGGAACUCUAUCGCUUCCUACCGUUUCCCAAAUUGUUACCUAGUUGCAGUAUUCCUGUAAUCUUUCUUGUGUUUGUUUUAAAAUAGUUUUCUUAUGUGUGUGCAAUAAAGUCAAUUAGUUCGGUUACCGUAUCCGCGGUUUCCUCUAUCCGGGUUGUAGCUGAAAAUCAGCGAUUUGCUCGAAAGGGCAAAAACUUGCGCUGAGCUAUGACCGUUUUGCGCUGCUGCAGCACACAUACAUACCUGGCGUGUGUUAAACAUUUUGUAUGUGGUGUGUAUUGUUGUUGAUUUGUAUUGUAUGCAUGUGUGUCUGUAGAAAUCAUUUAUAUAUCUAUCUAUCUAUCAAAGUAUAAUUGUAUUUGAAUUAAUUACCACCCCAAAGCCACAAAGCCACAGGCAACCGGAAGCCAAC